AGCAAUGGACCUUUGGGGAGGGGGGAGUUUUUAGUUUGUUUUACAAAUUUUUCCUGCAAAAGUGGAAACACUGUAUUUUCAUUUUAAUUUAUAUUUGAAAUUUUAUUUAGUUCUUGAAGUAGAUCUGCUUCUUCAUCUUGACGUGUAAUGGUCAGUUGUACGUAAUGUAUUUAUAUGUUAAUUUGUUAUGUAUACAGAUAUGCAAGUCUUGUCAGAAUUGGCCUCAGUGUAGUUAAAGGGCGGAAGAGGAAGAUACUGACUAGUCAUAGAAAUACCUCAUUCGCCUGUGGGAAGAGAAGAGAAGCCUCUUCAGGGUGAGUGAAUGGCAAAGUGGUUGCUUCUGGCUCCUCCUUCCCCUGUGGUCUUGGAAGUGUGUGGAAGGCAGGGACAGAGAUGGAGGCUGAGCCAAUAGACUGAAGAGACCACAGCAAUUGGCUCCUCCAUCUAGAGAUUUUCUUG
rnacentral:lncRNA from 1 species